rnacentral:rRNA from 1 species
CUGAAGAGACAUGAGAGCUGUAGCAUCAGUGGGAGGCCGUGCGGUUCGGUCCCGUUUCGACGGGGUUCGCGCGUCCGUCACGUGAAAUACCACUACUCUCAUCGUUUCUUUACUUACUCGGUGGAGCGGAGAGCGGACCAAUGAGUGUCCACGCUUCUAGCGCCAAGUUCUACAGGACUUUGAAAUCGUUUUCGAUGGGAAAACUACAAAAACGCAAAGUAUAUAAAAUGUGCAACCCGACAUUGUGACUUUCGAAAAAACUAUGGGACAAUUUAUGCCGGU